UGGGGAAUGUUGGACAAUGGGGGAAACCCUGAUCCAGCCAUCCCGCGUGUGCGAUGAAGGCCUUCGGGUUGUAAAGCACUUUUGGCAGGAAAGAAACGUCAUGGGUUAAUACCCCGUGAAACUGACGGUACCUGCAGAAUAAGCACCGGCUAACUACGUGCCAGCAGCCGCGGUAAUACGUAUGGUGCAAGCGUUAAUCGGAAUUACUGGGCGUAAAGCGUGCGCAGGCGGUUCGGAAAGAAAGAUGUGAAAUCCCAUGGCUCAACUUCGGAACUGCAUUUUUAACUACCCGGCUGGAGUGUGUCAGAGGGAGGUGGAAUUCCGCGUGUAGCAGUGAAAUGCGUAGAUAUGCGGAGGAACACCGAUGGCGAAGGCAGCCUCCUGGGAUAACACUGACGCUCAUGCACGAAAGCGUGGGGAGCAAACAGG
rnacentral:rRNA from 1 species